CAGGUUUACCUGUGUGACUGCGUACCUUUUGUAUAAUGGGUCAGCGACUUAUAUUCUGUAGCAAGGUUAACCGAAUAGGGGAGCCGGAGGGAAACCGAGUCUUAAUUGGGCGUUAAGUUGCAGGGUAUAGACCCGAAACCCGGUGAUCUAGCCAUGGGCAGGUUGAAGGUUGGGUAACACUAACUGGAGGACCGAACCGACUAAUGUUGAAAAAUUAGCGGAUGACCUGUGGCUGGGGGUGAAAGGCCAAUCAAACCGGGAGAUAGCUGGUUCUCCCCGAAAGCUAUUUAGGUAGCGCCUCGUGAAUUCAUCUCCGGGGGUAGAGCACUGUUUCGGCUAGGGGGCCAUCCCGGCUUACCAACCCGAUGCAAACUGCGAAUACCGGAGAAUGUUAUCACGGGAGACACACGGCGGGUGCUAACGUCCGUCGUGAAGAGGGAAACAACCCAGACCGCCAGCUAAGGUCCCAAAGUCAUGGUUAAGUGGGAAACGAUGUGGGAAGGCCCAGACAGCCAGGAUGUUGGCUUAGAAGCAGCCAUCAUUUAAAGAAAGCGUAAUAGCUCACUGGUCGAGUCGGCCUGCGCGGAAGAUGUAACGGGGCUAAACCAUGCACCGAAGCUGCGGCAGCGAACGUAUCACUUAAAGCGAUUCAGCGGGUUACGAUUGACGGAGCGAAGCGACGUCAAAGCGUAUACAAAGUCGAGUCGGUUUAAGGAUACGUUCGUUGGGUAGGGGAGCGUUCUGUAAGCCUGUGAAGGUGUGUCGUGAGGCAUGCUGGAGGUAUCAGAAGUGCGAAUGCUGACAUAAGUAACGAUAAAGCGGGUGAAAAGCCCGCUCGCCGGAAGACCAAGGGUUCCUGUCCAACGUUAAUCGGGGCAGGGUGAGUCGACCCCUAAGGCGAGGCCGAAAGGCGUAGUCGAUGGGAAACGGGUUAAUAUUCCCGUACUUGGUGUUACUGCGAAGGGGGGACGGAGAAGGCUAUGUUGGCCGGGCGACGGUU
rnacentral:rRNA from 1 species